CAACAAAAUAAUGUAUUUAAGAACCGAAGUAGGAAAACUGUAAUCGUGAACGCGAACCCAAACUGAAUAACGAAUCGUAAUUAAAUAUUCAAGCAUUGUACGUUGAACACGACAUAUAAAAGAUUCUGCUUAUCGUCAGCUCUAAUAGAAAGCUAUUAUGUUACCAAGCUAAGCUGUCUACUAUCUGGAAGCCAGAACAAGAGUGCAUGCAUCUAGCGACAAAGCAUCGCUUUAAGAUUAACCUCAUCAAUUUAAGAUAAUUCGUCUCGUAACGCGCUGCCGUGUGAUCGGCGCUCAUUAAGUUCGUCAAUAACAAAACAGACCAUUCACUAAAACUUAACGAAAGCCGGAAAUUUUGAAAAAUGGAACGUAUUUUCAAUAACUCCUAUUUUCGUCUAAAGAAAUAUGGUCUAUGUAAUAUAAAAUCGUAGUGAUACUUCUCGGUGGCACGUUGAAGAGGGGAGACCUGAAGCAAUAGUAGAAACACGUCGGGAACAUCGUUGGAGGUCACGUAGUGUCUAUACCGAAUUACUCGCUUACGCAAACUGAUCCUUAUGGUACCAAGGGAAAUAUGCGAUGCCGCAGUCGGUGGCGCGACAACAAAGCGCGAAUCACGAAAGCAGCCCCGACCUCCCGAUUUCCGACACUAAUCCUCAAAUCCUAAGGAUUUUGGCAGCUUAAGCUUGGAGAAAAUGAAAGGAAAUUUUUGAAACAUGGAAUGUAAAACUCAACAGAAUAACAAAUCUCUGGUAUCAUUUACUUACCUUAAGACAAAAUUAAUUUAGUUAUACUAUAAAUUAAAUUCCAUUCUGAA